GCUCGAGUGGCGAACGGGUGAGUAACACGUGAGUAACCUGCCCUUGACUUUGGGAUAACUUCAGGAAACUGGGGCUAAUACCGGAUAGGAGCUCCUGCUGCAUGGUGGGGGUUGGAAAGUUUCGGCGGUUGGGGAUGGACUCGCGGCUUAUCAGCUUGUUGGUGGGGUAGUGGCCUACCAAGGCGGCGACGGGUAGCCGGCCUGAGAGGGUGGACGGCCACAUUGGGACUGAGAUACGGCCCAG
rnacentral:rRNA from 1 species